CCCUUCUCAGUGUUUUGAUUGCCACGUGUCGUUUUUUGACUUGAUCAUCAGUACCUUUUGAUGGUGAUGAUUUUCUUGUUCCUUUUCUUACAACUGAGAAUCCUCCUCGGCCUAAUACCUCCGAGAUAUCGUAUUGGUCGUUUUAUCCAUAUAUAAGACAUAUCUGAUCUCCAGUUGUUUGCCAAGAAUUUGAUCUCAAACAAAGUGAGAGGACCAUAUCCACGCACAGUAUUGAGGAUUUCAGCAGAUGUGAGAGGACCUUUCAACCACAUUGUUUCUUUGUGGACCAGGAAAUCAAAUUUGAACCCGAAAAAAAAAUGGCAUAUCCACUAAAAGAUCUUCGAUCAUCAAGGCAACUUCCCAAGUCUGCUUAAUCCUCAUGAGUUCACAAUGAAGCCGGUUGAAUAAAGAACCCAUCAUGAGUAGUACCAUUAAGAUGGCGUAAUAUAUAUAACAUUUUGCAAGCCAGCCAAUGUAUGUCAGUGGGAACAUGAAUGAACUGAUAUUCAAGGCAACAUCUGGCCAUGCCUAGUAAAAGUAAGAUACAGUAAUGCACUAAAGUGCUUCUACAUAGUUUAAUGUCUACCGUAGGUUCACCAUCCUUUUAAACAGAGUUUAUGAGCAGCACUAGCAUAUAUAUAUUUGGAUUAGUGUAAAAAAGUUGUAGUACGAUAUAUUUCCACUCCAAGAAAUGGGACAAGGUCCUUGAGUGCAAAAUGUUGAUUUAGACUAUGAACUUGUUCAUCAGUUGGUGAAUGCCAAGAGGGCAUGUAACACGAAAUUCAUCUAGACAAGUAGUAUAACUAGAUUUUAGCUUGUGGCA